ACUCCUGCGGGAGGCAGCAGUGGGGAAUAUUGGACAAUGGGCGCAAGCCUGAUCCAGCCAUGCCGCGUGAGUGAUGAAGGCCCUAGGGUUGUAAAGCUCUUUCACCGGUGAAGAUAAUGACGGUAACCGGAGAAGAAGCCCCGGCUAACUUCGUGCCAGCAGCCGCGGUAAUACGAAGGGGGCUAGCGUUGUUCGGAUUUACUGGGCGUAAAGCGCACGUAGGCGGACUAUUAAGUCAGGGGUGAAAUCCCGGGGCUCAACCCCGGAACUGCCUUUGAUACUGGUAGUCUUGAGUUCGAGAGAGGUGAGUGGAAUUCCGAGUGUAGAGGUGAAAUUCGUAGAUAUUCGGAGGAACACCAGUGGCGAAGGCGGCUCACUGGCUCGAUACUGACGCUGAGGUGCGAAAGCGUGGUGAGCAAACAGGAUUAGAUACCCCUGUAGUCCCAUGA
rnacentral:rRNA from 1 species